rfam:Erwinia sp. Leaf53 contig_5, whole genome shotgun sequence.
AUAUUUAACGGUUGGCUUCCCGAACGGGGAGCCACUGCACACGAAACAGAUUGUGUUGGUCCCGACGCUCAGCCCUGUUCCGUGUGCAGCAUAAUUGACGCAUUCAGAAAUUGGUAACGCAUGAACCCCAUCGUAAUUAACAAGCUCCAGCGUAAGCUGGGCUACACUUUUACUC